CAGGUUGUUCCAUUUCUUCUU
rnacentral:snRNA from 1 species